ACACGGAGCUUGCUCUGUGGGAUCAGUGGCGAACGGGUGAGUAACACGUGAGCAACCUGCCCCUGACUCUGGGAUAAGCGCUGGAAACGGCGUCUAAUACUGGAUAUGUGACGUGACCGCAUGGUCUGCGUUUGGAAAGAUUUUUCGGUUGGGGAUGGGCUCGCGGCCUAUCAGCUUGUUGGUGAGGUAAUGGCUCACCAAGGCGUCGACGGGUAGCCGGCCUGAGAGGGUGACCGGCCACACUGGGACUGAGACACGGCCCAGACUCCUACGGGAGGCAGCAGUGGGGAAUAUUGCACAAUGGGCGGAAGCCUGAUGCAGCAACGCCGCGUGAGGGAUGACGGCCUUCGGGUUGUAAACCUCUUUUAGCAGGGAAGAAGCGAAAGUGACGGUACCUGCAGAAAAAGCGCCGGCUAACUACGUGCCAGCAGCCGCGGUAAUACGUAGGGCGCAAGCGUUAUCCGGAAUUAUUGGGCGUAAAGAGCUCGUAGGCGGUUUGUCGCGUCUGCUGUGAAAUCCCGAGGCUCAACCUCGGGCCUGCAGUGGGUACGGGCAGACUAGAGUGCGGUAGGGGAGAUUGGAAUUCCUGGUGUAGCGGUGGAAUGCGCAGAUAUCAGGAGGAACACCGAUGGCGAAGGCAGAUCUCUGGGCCGUAACUGACGCUGAGGAGCGAAAGGGUGGGGGAGCAAACAGGCUUAGAUACCCUGGUAGUCCACCCCGUAAACGUUGGGGAACUAGUUGUGGGGGUCCAUUCCACGGAUUCCCGUGA
rnacentral:rRNA from 1 species